ACUUUCUGCGGCGACCGGCGCACGGGUGAGUAACACGUAUCCAACCUGCCUCAUACUCGGGGAUAGCCUUUCGAAAGAAAGAUUAAUACCCGAUGUUAUAGUCCUACCGCAUGAUGGGAUUAUUAAAGAAUUUCGGUAUGGGAUGGGGAUGCGUUCCAUUAGUUAGUUGGCGGGGUAACGGCCCACCAAGACAACGAUGGAUAGGGGUUCUGAGAGGAAGGUCCCCCACAUUGGAACUGAGACACGGUCCAAACUCCUACGGGAGGCAGCAG
rnacentral:rRNA from 1 species